rfam:Picea glauca, whole genome shotgun sequence.
GUCAGGAUGGCCGAGUGGUCUAAGGCGCCAGACUCAAGUUCUGGUCCUCAAUUGAGGGCGUGGGUUCAAACCCCACUUCUGACA